GACGUAGGGCGCGAGCGUUGUCCGGAUUUAUUGGGCGUAAAGGGCUCGUAGGCGGUUUGUCGCGUCGGGAGUGAAAACCAGGUGCUUAACACCUGGCUUGCUUUCGAUACGGGCAGACUAGAGGUAUUCAGGGGAGAACGGAAUUCCUGGUGUAGCGGUGAAAUGCGCAGAUAUCAGGAGGAACACCGGUGGCGAAGGCGGUUCUCUGGGCAUUACCUGACGCUGAGGAGCGAAAGUGUGGGGAGCGAACAGG
rnacentral:rRNA from 1 species